rnacentral:snRNA from 1 species
AGCUUUGCACAGUGGCAGUAUCGUAGCCAAUGAGGUUUAUCCGAGGCGUGAUUAUUGCUAAUUGAAAAUAAAGCAAAAAAUACCUUUCUAGUUGGGGCCAGUAGGUGACAUAGUGGUUAAGGCAUUGGGCU